rnacentral:rRNA from 1 species
GACGAACGCUGGCGGCGUGCUUAACACAUGCAAGUCGAACGGAAAGGCCCUGCUUGCAGGGUACUCGAGUGGCGAACGGGUGAGUAACACGUGGGUGAUCUGCCCUGCACUUCGGGAUAAGCCUGGGAAACUGGGUCUAAUACCGGAUAGGAGCCAUUUUUAGUGUGAUGGUUGGAAAGUUUUUUCGGUGUAGGGUGAGCUCGCGGCCUAUCAGCUUGUUGGUGGGGUAAUGGCCUACCAAGGCGGCGACGGGUAGCCGGCCUGAGAGGGUGGACGGCCACAUUGGGACUGAGAGACGGCCCAGACGCCUACUGUUGGCCGCUGUGGGGAAUAUUGCACAAUGGGCGCCAGCCUGAUGCAGCGACGCCGCGUGUGGGAUGACGGCCUUCGGGUUGUAAACUCCUUUCGCUAUGGACGAAGCUUUUUGUGACGGUACCUAGAUAAGAAGCACCGGCUAACUACGUG